GACAGAGGGGGCAAGCGUUGCUCGGAAUCACUGGGCGUAAAGGGCGCGUAGGCGGGAUGGCAAGUCAGUCGUGAAAUCUCUCGGCUCAACCGAGAAACGUCGGCUGAUACUGCCGUUCUUGAGGGAUGCAGAGGAGACUGGAAAUUCCCGGUGUAGCGGUGAAAUGUGUAGAGAUCGGGAGGAACACCGGUGGCGAAGGCGGGUCUCUGGGCAUCUCCUGACGGCUGAGGCACGAAAAGCCAGGGGAGCGAACGGG
rnacentral:rRNA from 1 species